ACUGCCCCUUUUUUUGCCUGCGAAUGGCGGCGAUUUGAAGUUGGGGCUUUUCGUUUCCUCCAAAACAUUGAUAUCUGGAAAGGGAGCCCCUUAACACUUUUGGAGGGAACUGGCUGCAGCAUUUGGCGGGGAGAGAUAAACUGGUUUCCCACCUCUGCUUACUCCCACCUUCUCCCCUUAAUCUUCUCUUCCUCUGUGCGAGACUUUUUUCCUUUUUUAUUGUAGACACAGGGUCUUUGUUCUGCUGCCCAGGUUGGAGUGCAGUGGCGUGAUCAUAGCUCACUGCAGCCUCAACCCCCCGGGCCCAAGCGAUCCUUCCACCUCAGCCUCCCGAGUAGCUGGGCCUAGAGGUGCACACCACCAUGCCUGGCUAAUUUUUAAUUUUUUUUGUAGAGAUGGAGCCUUUCUAUGUUGCCAAGCCUAGCCUCGAACUCCUGGCCUCCCAAAAUGUGGGGAAUACAGGCGUGAGCCACUGCACCCCGGGUCAUUCCUCUUUUACUUCCUUGCUGUACCCCAACUAUCCUUCCCCCUCGGUGCCCUUAAAACCUUUGCAUUGGGACUUAACGGUAAUAGAAUGGCAUUCCUCACUGCCUCCGAACCACUCAAGCUGCUGCCCAUGCACUCUCUUCUGCAUGGCUCCUGGACUAAGCAGCCUCCCUUUGAUUAAGCAGAGACAAGAAUCUCACUCUGUCAUCUGUGGCAAGAUCAUCUUACUGAGGCCUCAAACUCCCGGGCUCCAGCGAUCCCCCUCGGGCCUCUCAGCCUCCUGCGUAGCUAGAACUACAGGAAUGUGCCAGCAUGCCUAGCUAAUUUUUUUUUUUUUUUUGAGACAGAAUUUUGCUCUUGUUGCCCAGGCUGGAGUGCAAUGGUGUGAUCUCUGCUCACCGUAACCUCCAUAUCCUGGGUUCAAGCAAUUCUUCUGCCUCAGCCUCCCAAGUAGCUGGGAUUACAGGUGCCUGCCACUAAACCAGGCUAAUUUUUGUAUUUUUAGCAGAGAUGGGGUUUCACCAUGUUGGACAGGCUAGCUAGUCUCGAACUCCUAACCUCAGGUGAUCAACCUGCCUCAGCCUCCCAAAGUGCUGGGAUUACAGGCAUAAGCCACCAUGCCCAACCAUGCCCAGCUAAUUUUAAAAUUUUGUGUAGGGAUGGGGUCUCACUAUGUUGCCCACGCUGGUCUCAAACUCCUGGCCUCAAGCAAACCUCCUUACUUGACCUCGCAAAGUGCUGGAAUUACAGGCAUGAGCCACCGCGCCUGGUCUUCAGCCACAUUUAUCUAACAGGAAAACACAGCAACUAACCAAGACUCCGCAAAAUUCUAUUCAUCCCACUGGGCUCCGACUCAGGAAUUGUUUCCAAAUACUGGAUGGCCCGGAUCUCAAACAAACCUACAAGGAAAAACUCAUGUUGGUGAAACUGUGUAACACUCCAGACUGGGAAUUACAUAAAAUUCUGUGCUUAUAACCAGUGUAUUAUUUCCAGGGCUAAAACAAUAUUACAAAAUAAUUCUCAUAAUAAACAACUCAGAUUUUAA